GAGGUUGAUGGUAUACGGAGAUUCACUAGUGGUCAUAAGCCAGAUAAAUAAAGACUGGGAUUGCUCGACUGAUUCCAUGGGCAAGUACUGUACAGCCGUCCGAAAAUUAGAAGACAAGUUUGAAGGGUUGGAAUUCCAUCACGUGGAAAGAGACCGCAACACAGCAGCUGACGCGUUGUCAAAGCUGGGAUCCAGUCGGGCCCAGGUCCCACCCGGAAUCUUCGUCCAGGAAGUGUCACGACCGAGUAUCCCCUCAGAUCAGACAAAAGAAUGCAACACCUUGAGCCAACCAGAAUCGGACUCCGAUGACUGGAGAGAGCCUAUCAUCAGGUACAUAAAGAAUGAAGAAGAACCGGAUGAUAAGGCUGCAGCAGAAUGCAUCGCAAGACAGUCGGCCCACUACACCCUCAUAGAGGGCGCACUGUACAGAAGGGGUGCGACAGGAGUCCUCAUGAAGUGCAUUUCCUCGACUACUGGGAAGUAGCUAUUGGAUGAAAUCCACGCAGGACAGUGCGGAGUACACGUAGCAUCCAGAACUCUGGUUGGGAAAGUUUUUAGGUCUAGAUUCUAUUGGCCAACGAAAAAGAGUGAUGCCACCGAGUUAGUCCAGAGAUGUGAAGCUUGCCAGUUCUUGUCAAAGCAACAACAUUUGCCAGCACAGCAGCUGCAGACCAUACCUGUAACAUGGUCAUUUGCAUGCUGGGGGCUGGACAUGAUUGGACCCUUCAAGAAAGCUCAGGGAGGCUAUACUCACGUGUUGGUUGCCAUUGACAAGUUCACCAAAGGGAUAGAGUACAAGCCUAUUGCUUCUUUAACCUCAGCCAAGGCAGUGGAGUUCAUACAAGACAUAAUGUUCAGAUUUGGGAUACCAAAUAGCAUCAUAACCGACCUGGGAUCCAACUUCACCAGCUCAGAAUUCUUUGAUUUCUGCGAACAACGGAGUAUCCAGAUCAAGUAUGGAUCAGUAGUGCAUCCAAGACCAAUGGUCAGGUGGAAAGGGCCAAUGGAAUGAUACUGGAAGCACUCAGGAAGAAAGUGUUCGACAAAAAUGAAAAGCUUACAGGAAAGUGGAUCAGAGAGCUGCCAUAUGUGGUUUGGGGCUUGAGAACUCAACCUAGUCAAGCCCUACAUGGAAAUACCCCGUUCUUCAUGGUCUAUGGUUCGGAGGCAGUGCUACCCGCCGACCUCAAGUUCAGGGCACCGAGGCUGGUCUUUGAAAGCAUAGCUGAAGCAGAAAAUACCAGGCUAGAGGAUAUUGAUGCGCUGGAGGAAGAGCGAUUGAACACAGUAAUUCAGUCAGUCAGAUACCAGCAGACCUUGAGGCACUAUCAUGAUAAAGCCAUACGACACUGAUCCUUUGUAGUGGGAGACUUGGUCCUUCACCAAAUUCUAACAGAGGAAGGACGGCACAAGUUGUCACCACUAUGGGAAGGGCCAUUCAUUGUAUUAGAAGUCACUCGACCGGGAUCAUAUCGGCUUACUCAAAUGGAUGGCACGGAAGUGGGGAACUCAUGGAACAUAGAGCAUCUUAGAAAGUUUUACCCUUAUCAAGGCCUCAAAAGCUAUCGGAGCAACAUUGUACUCUAUAAUUGGAGAAUCCGUCAUCAAUAAUGUUUUCAUUUUCAAAGGCAUUCAAACUCUUGACUGUCAGCUGACUUCGAUUUGAUUGGACUUGAAAUCAACACGCUUACUCGGCUUAGGGUGACCACUAUACCCUACUAACGGAGCAAUCGGCUUAAGUCGGUGACAACUUAAGACGGUGCAACAUGCUCACGCUUACUCGACUUAGGGUGAUCACUAUACCCUACUAACAGAUCAAUCGGCUUAAGUCGGCGACGACUUAAGACGGUGCAACAUGCUCACGCUUACUCGACUUAGGGUGACCACUAUACCCUACUAACGAAGCAAUCGGCUUAAGUCGGCGACGACUUAAAGACGGUGCAACAUGCUCACUCUUACUCAACUUAGGGUGACCACUAUACCCUACUAACAGAGCAAUCGGCUUAAGUCGGCGACGACUUAAAAAUGGUGCAACAUGCUCACGCUUACUCGACUUAGGGUGACCACUAUACCCUACUUAUGGAGCAAUCGGCUUAAGUCAGCGACGACUUAAGACGGUACAACAUGCUCACGCUUACUCGGCUUAGGGGGACCACUAUACCCUACUAACGGGAUAAUCGACUCAAGUAGGCGAUGACUUAAGUCAACACGAUACGAUCACAUCUACCUAUCUUAUGGCGACCACUAUGCCUUACCAGCCAGGAGAUUGGCUUAAGUUAGAAAAAGUUUCAAAACCAGCACAUUUACUUUUACAAUUGUUCAGGGUGACUGUUAUACCCUAACAACAAAACAAUCAGUACUCCAGGAAAACAGAAUGUUGUACUUGUCAGCACCAAGGACACGUUCUGGUGCCCUAUCCACAAAAUAUUCGAACACAACCAUCACACGCACAUAGAAUUCAUAGUACAUUCCGUGUUUCACAGGAUAUCACUGCAUUGAAACAUCUCUGCUCGCAAUGUUUUUUGCACGAGCAAUCGAGGAAGAAGGGUGACUCGAGGCAUCAGGCGCAGCCUUGACGUCGGCAACAAUGUCAUCAGGAACCACUACGCUAGGCCUCCUCAUCAAGAUCCGCCCCGCGCGAAUGGCCUUGUCCAUAGCCAUGUUGCGCUGAGCCUUCAGAACGGCGCAGUUGUCCUCUGAAGCUUUGAUAGCCAGUCGAGCAGUUUCUAGCUCCUGUGCGACGAGUUUCUUUGAAGCACGAAGAUCUUUAAUGGUCAAAUACUUGGCCGAUAACAGUUGUCCAAGCCGCUAAACUUCAUCCUGAGAUACUUGCAGCUCGUGACGAUGAUGGUCCAGGUCCGACAAAGUGAAGCGAUGGCUCCUUUCCAAAAUAGUCAAGGAAUUACUAGCGUCACGAUACAACCUGAUUAUCGCAAGAGGAUGCAAGCACUCGUUUCUCCUCCUGUGAACAAGAAUCAACAUUUAGCGCCCAGUCGACAGAAAGCAUGGCAAAGUCAAUCCAGGGAGUUUACCUCAUGCGCCACCCUUUCCGAGUCAAACUGAGCAUUGAGGGAAGAGUUCAAAGAGCACACGUCAUCCAGAGAAGCAGAAACUCGGGCCAAGUCGGCUUGACCUUGAGAAUAUUUGAAAGGGAAUUAGGCUUACACCUAUUUCCCAAAUGAUUUUGGUGGUUGAAUUGCCCAACACAAAUAAAUUCGACUAACUAGUUUGCUCUAGUGUAUAAGUUAUACAGGUGCCAAAGGUUCACACUUAGCCAAUAAAAAUACCAAGAAUUGGGUUCAUCAAAAAGAGCAAAGGGAUAACCGAAGUGUGCCCUGGUCUGGCGCACCGGAUUGUCCGGUGUGCCACCGGACAGUGUCCGGUGCACCAGGGGACUUCACGCUGAACUCUUCACCUUCGGGAAAAUCCAGAGGCGCUCCGAUAUAAUUCACCGGACUGUCCGGUGUACACCGGACAGUGUCCGGUGCCCCAAGGAAGAGCAACUCUAGAACUCGCCAGCUUCGGGAAUUUGCUCCGCUAUAAUUCACCGGACGUGUUCGGUGUACACCGGACUGUCCGGUGAGCCAGCGGAGCAACGGCUAUCCGGCGCCAACGGUCACCUGCUAUAGCAUUAAAUGCGCGCCAGAGCGCGUAGAAGUCAGGCACGCGUGAAGUGGCGCACCGGACACUCUACAGUGCAUGUCCGGUGUGCCACCGGACAUCCAGGCGGGCCCAGAAGUCAGAGCUCCAACGGUCGGAACCCAACGGCCUGGUGACGUGGCUGGCGCACCGGACACUUUCCGGUGUGCACCGGACUGUCCGGUGCACCAUGCGACAGACAGCCCCACCAAACGGCUAGUUUGGUGGUUGGGGUUAUAAAUACCCCCAACCACCCCACAUUCAAGUCAUCCAAGUUUUCCACCUUCCAACUACUUACAAGAGCUAGGCAUUCAAUACAAGACACACCCAAGUGAUCAAAUCCUCUCCCAAUUCCACAAAAGCUUUAGUGUUAAGUGAGAGCGAUUUGUUGUGUUCUUUUGAGCUCUUGCGCUUGGAUUGCUUUCUUUUCUCAUUCUUUCUUGAGAUCAAACUCACUUGUAUUUGAGGCAAGAGACACCAAUCAUGUGGUGAUCCUUGUGGGAACUUUGUGUUCCAAGUGAUUGAGAAGAAAAGCUCACUCGGUCCGAGGGACCGUUUGAGAGAGGGAAAGGGUUGAAAGAGACCCGGUCUUUGUGACCACCUCAACGGGGAGUAGGUUUGCGAAAACCGAACCUCAGUAAAACAAAUCCGCGUGUCACACUCUUUAUUUGCUUGCGAUUUGUUUUGCACCCUCUCUCGCGGACUCAAUUACAUUUCUAACGCUAACCCGGCUUGUAGUUGUGAUUAAGUUUGUAAAUUUCAGAUUCACCCUAUUCACCCCCCCCUCUCUAGGCGACUUUCAAUUGGUAUUAGAGCCCGGUGCUUCAUUAGAGCCUAACCGCUCAAAGUGAUGUCGGGAGAACACGCCAAGAAGGAGAUGGAGACCGGCGACAAGCCCACUACAAGCCACAGGAAGGCUUCAUCGGAAGAGUCCCGCAAAAAGGGAAAGGGGAAGGAGAAGAAAGCCUCUUCCCACAAGUCGCAUCGGAGUGGGGACAAGAAAAAGAAGAUGAGGAAGGUGGUCUACUACGAGACCGACACCUCAUCGCCAUCUACCUCCGGCUCCGACGCGCCCUCCGUAACUUCUAAGCGCCAUGAGCGCAAGAAGUUUAGUAAGAUUCCCUUACACUACCCUCGCACCUCUAGACAUACUCCAUUGCUUUCCGUUCCAUUAGGCAAACCACCAACCUUUGACGGUGAAGAUUAUGCUAGGUGGAGUGAUUUAAUGAAAUUUCAUCUAACCUCACUCCACAAAAGUACAUGGACUGUUGUUGAGUUUGGAGCACAGGUACCAUCCGUCGGGGAUGAGGAUUAUGAUGAGGACGAGGUGGCCCAAAUCGAGCACUUCAACUCCCAAGCCACAACCAUACUCCUUGCCUCUCUAAGUAGGGAGGAGUACAACAAGGUGCAAGGAUUAAAGAGCGCCAAGGAAGUUUGGGACGUGCUCAAAACUGCGCACGAGGGUGAUGAACUCACCAAGAUCACUUAUUUUCCUUAACCCUACUCAAGUACAAUUAAUUCGUGGCAAUCCAAGAUAUACACUAAUGACUCCCGAGGAAGUAAUCGGGAAUUUUGUGAGCUUUGAAUUUAUGAUCAAGGGCUCACAGAAGAUCAACGAGCUUGACGGGCCCUCCACGUCCGAAGCACAACCGGUCGCAUUCAAGGCGACGGAGGAGAAGGAGGAGUCUACACCGAGUAGAACACCCAUCGACGCCUCCAAGCUCGACAACGAAGAAAUGGCGCUCGUCAUCAAGAGCCUCCGCCAAAUCCUCAAGCAAAGGAGGGGGAAAGAUUACAAGCCCCGCUCCAAGAAGGUUUGCUACAAAUGUGGUAAGCCCGGUCACUUUAUAGCAAAAUGUCCUAUUUCUAGUGACAGUGACAGGGGCGACGACAAGAAGGGGAGAAGAAAGGAGAAGAAGAGACACUACAAGAAGAAGGGCGGCGACGCCCAUGUUUGUCGCGAGUGGGACUCCGACGAAAGCUCUAGCGACUCCUCCGACGAUGAGGACGCCGCCAACAUCGCCGUCACCAAGGGACUUCUCUUCCCUAACGUCGGCCACAAGUGCUUCAUGGCAAAGGACGACAAAAAGAAGAAGGUUAAAUCUAAAUCCUCCACUAGAUAUGAGUCCUCUAGUGAUGAUAAUGCUAGCGAUGAGGAAGACAAUUUGCGUACUCUUUUUGCCAACUUGAACAUGCAACAAAAAGAGAAAUUAAAUGAAUUAAUUAGUGUCAUCCAUGAGAAGGAUGAUCUCUUGGACUCCUAAGAGGACUUCCUAAUCAAGGAAAACAAAAAGCAUGUUAAAGUUAAAAAUGCUUACGCUCUAGAAGUUGGAAAAUGUGAAAAAUUAUCUAGUGAGCUAAGCACUUGCCAUGAGACUAUAGACAACCUUAGAAAUGAGAAUUUUAAUUUGUUAGCUAAGGUUGAUUCUAUUGCUUGUAAUGUUUCAAUUCCCAAUCUUAGAAAUGAUAAUGAUGAUUUGCUUGCUAAGAUUGAAGAAUUAAACAUGUCUCUUGCUAGCCUUAGGAUUGAAAAUGAAAAAUUGCUUUCUAAGGCUAAAGAAUUAGACGUUUGCAAUGCUACCAUUUCCGACCUUAGAAGUAGAAAUGAUAUAUUACAUGCUAAGGUUGUAGAAUUAAAAUCUUGCAAACCCUCUACAUCUACCGUUGAACACACUACUAUUUGCACUAGAUGUAGAGAUGUUGAUAUUAAUGCUAUUCAUGAUCACAUGGCUUUAAUUAAACAACAAAAUGAUCAUAUAGCAAAAUUAGAUGCUAAAAUUGCCGAGCAUGAACAUGAAAAUGAAAAAAUUAAAUUUGCUCGUAGUAUGCUUUAUAGUGGGAGACGCCCUGGCAUCAAGGAUGGCAUUGGCUUCCAAAAGGGGGACAAUGUCAAACUUAAUGCCCCUCCUAAGAAAUUGUCUAACUUUGUUAAGGGCAAGGCUCCCAUGCCUCAAGAUAACGAGGGUUACAUUUUGUACCCUGUCGGUUAUCCUGAGAGCAAAAUUAGGAGAAUUCAUUCUAGGAAGUCUCACUCUGGCCCUAACCAUGCUUUUAUGUAUAAGGGUGAGACAUCUAGUUCUAGGCAACCAACUCGUGCUAAGUUGCCUAAGAAGAAAACUCUUGAUGCAUCAAAUGAUCAUGACAUUUCAUUUAAAACUUUUAAUGCAUCAUAUGUUUUAACUACAAAUCCAGCAAGGUAGUUGCCAAAUAUGUUGGGGGCAAGCACAAGGGGUCAAAGACUUGUGUUUGGGUACCCAAAGUUCUUGUGUCUAAUGCCAAAGGACCCAAAACCAUUUGGGUACCUAAAGUCAAGAACUAAACAUGUUUUGUAAGUUUAUGCAUCCGGGGGCUCAAGUUGGAUCAUCGACAGCGGGUGCACAAACCACAUGACAGGGGAGAAGAAAAUGUUCUCCUCCUAUGAGAAAAACCAAGAUCCCCAACGAGCUAUCACAUUCGAGGAUGGAAAUCAAGGUUUGGUCAAAGGAUUGGGUAAAAUUGCUAUAUCUCCUGACCAUUCUAUUUCCAAUGUUUUUCUUGUAGAUUCAUUAGAUUACAAUUUGCUUUCCGUUUCUCAAUUAUGCAAAAUGGGCUACAACUGUCUUUUUACUAAUAUAGGUGUCACUGUCUUUAGAAGAAGUGAUGAUUCAAUAGCAUUUAAGGGAGUGUUAGAGGGUCAGCUAUACUUGGUAGAUUUUGAUAGAGCUGAACUCGACACUUGCUUAAUUGCUAAGACUAACAUGGGUUGGCUCUGGCACCGCCGACUAGCCCAUGUUGGGAUGAAGAAUCUUCAUAAGCUUCUAAAGGGAGAGCACAUUUUAGGAUUAACAAAUGUUCAUUUUGAGAAAGACAGGAUUUGUAGCGCAUGCCAAGCAGGGAAGCAAGUUGGUGCCCAUCAUCCACACAAGAACAUCAUGACUACUGACAGGCCACUGGAGCUCCUACACAUGGACCUAUUCGGCCCGAUAGCUUACAUAAGCAUCGGCGGGAGUAAGUACUGUCUAGUUAUUGUGGAUGAUUACUCUCGCUUCACUUGGGUGUUCUUUCUACUGGAAAAAUCUCACACCCAAGAGACCUUAAAGGGAUUCUUGAGACGGGCUCAAAACGAGUUCGCCUUAAGGAUCAAGAAAAUUAGAAGCGACAACGGGGCGGAGUUCAAGAACUCACAAAUCGAAGGCUUCCUUGAGGAGGAGGGCAUCAAGCAUGAGUUCUCUUCUCCCUACACCCCACAACAAAAUGGUGUAGUGGAGAGGAAGAAUAGAACUCUAUUGGACAUGGCAAGAACCAUGCUUGAUGAGUACAAGACUUCGGAUCGGUUUUGGGCCAAGGCGGUCAACACCGCCUGCUACGCCAUCAACCGGUAAUAUCUACACCGAAUCCUCAAGAAGACAUCUUAUGAACUCCUAACCGGUAAAAAGCCCAACAUUUCAUAUUUUAGAGUCUUUGGUAGCAAAUGCUUUAUACUUGUUAAAAGAGGUAGAAAAUCUAAAUUUGCUCCUAAGACUGUAGAAGGCUUUUUACUAGGAUAUGAUUCAAACACAAGGGCAUAUAGAGUCUUUAACAAGUCCUCUGGACAAGUUGAAGUUUCUUGUGACGUUGUGUUUGAUGAGACUAACGGCUCUCAAGUAGAGCAAGUUGAUCUUGAUGAGAUAGGUAAUGAAGAGGCUCCAUGCAUCGCGCUAAGGAACAUGUCCAUUGGGGAUGUGUGUCCUAAGGAAUCCGAAGAGCCUCCAAAUGCACAAGAUCAACCAUCCUCCUCCACGCAAGCAUCUCCACCAACUCAAAAUGAGGAUGAAGCUCAAGUUGAUGAAGGAGAAGAUCAAGCAAAUGAGCCACCUCAGGAUGACGACAAUGAUCAAGGGGGAGAUGCAAAUGAGCAAGAUAAGGAGGAUGAAGAACCAAGGCCGCCACACCCAAGAGUCCACCAAGCAAUCCAACGAGAUCACCCCGUCGACACUAUUCUCGGCGACAUACAUAAGGGGGUAACUACUAGAUCUCGUGUUGCACAUUUUUGUGAGCAUUACUCUUUUGUUUCCUCUAUUGAGCCACACAGGGUGGAGGAAGCACUUCAAGAUUCGGAUUGGGUGGUGGCGAUGCAAGAGGAGCUCAACAACUUCACGAGGAACGAGGUAUGGCAUUUAGUUCCACGUCCUAAUCAAAAUGUUGUAGGAACCAAGUGGGUCUUCCGCAACAAGCAAGAUGAGCAUGGUGUGGUGACAAGGAACAAAGCUCGACUUGUGGCCAAGGGAUAUUCGCAAGUCGAAGGUUUGGAUUUCGGUGAAACUUAUGCUCCCGUAGCUAGGCUUGAGUCAAUUCGUAUAUUAUUGGCCUAUGCUACUUACCAUGGCUUCAAGCUUUACCAAAUGGACGUGAAGAGUGCCUUCCUCAAUGGACCUAUCAAGGAAGAGGUCUAUGUUGAGCAACCUCCCGGCUUUGAAGAUAGUGAGUACCCUAACCAUGUCUAUAAACUCUCUAAGGCGCUUUAUGGACUUAAGCAAGCCCCACGAGCAUGAUAUGAAUGCCUAAGAGAUUUUCUUAUUGCAAAUGGCUUCAAAGUCGGAAAGGUCGAUCCCACACUCUUUACCAAAACACUUGAAAAUGAUUUGUUCGUAUGCCAAAUUUAUGUUGAUGAUAUUAUAUUUGGGUCUACUAACGAGUCUACAUGUGAAGAAUUUAGUAGGAUCAUGACACAAAAAUUCGAGAUGUCUAUGAUGGGGGAGUUGAAGUAUUUCUUAGGAUUUCAAGUGAAGCAACUCCAAGAGGGCACCUUCCUAAGCCAAACGAAGUAUACUCAAGAUAUUCUAAGCAAGUUUGGGAUGAAGGAUGCCAAACCCAUCAAGACACCCAUGGGAACCAAUGGGCAUCUCGACUUCGACGAGGGAGGUAAAUCCGUCGAUCAAAAGGUAUACCGGUCGAUGAUUGGAUCUUUACUAUAUUUAUGUGCAUCUCGACCGGAUAUUAUGCUUUCCGUAUGCAUGUGUGCAAGAUUCCAAGCCGACCCUAAGGAAGCUCACCUUACGGCCGUAAAACGAAUCUUGAGAUAUUUAGUUUAUACUCCUAAGUUUGGGCUUUGGUAUCCUAGGGGAUUCACUUUUGAUUUGAUUGGUUAUUCAGAUGCCGAUUGGGCAGGGUGUAAAAUCAAUAGAAAGAGCACAUCGGGGACCUGCCAGUUCUUGGGAAGAUCCUUGGUGUCUUGGGCUUCAAAGAAGCAAAAUUCCGUAGCUCUUUCUACCACCGAGGCCGAGUACAUUGCCGCAGGUCAUUGUUGCGCGCAACUACUUUGGAUGAGGCAAACCCUUAGGGACUACGGUUACAAAUUAACCAAAGUUCCUCUUCUAUGUGAUAAUGAGAGUGCAAUCCGCAUGGCGGAUAAUCCUGUUGAGCAUAGCCGCACUAAACACAUAGCCAUUCGGUAUCACUUUUUAAGGGAUCACCAACAAAAGGGAGAUAUCGAGAUUUCAUAUAUUAACACUAAAGAUCAAUUAGCCGAUAUCUUUACCAAGCCUCUUGAUGAGCAAACCUUUAACAAACUUAGGCAUGAGCUAAAUAUUCUUGAUUCUAGGAACUUCUUUUGUUGAUUUGCUCACAUAGCUCUUUUAUAUACCUUUGAUCAUGUCUCUUUCAUAUACUAUGACUAAUGUGUUUUCAAGUCUAUUUCAAACCAAGUCAUAAGUGUAUUGAAAGGAAAUUGGAGUCUUCGGCGAAGACAAAGGCUUCCACUCCGUAACUCAUCCUUCGCUGUCGCUCCGCGCAACUCUCCAUCUUUGGGGGAGAGAGCAUCUCUCCUACUUUGGUAUAAUCUUCACUCAUAUGUUUAUUUUGCCAAAGGAGAGAAAAUAGUUAGGCUAAUGGCUCUAAUGAUUCCCUUUUUGGCGAUUUAUGCCAAAGGGGGAGAGAGCAUGAGCCCAAAGCAAAAGGACUGCACCACCACCUAAUUUUAAAAAUGAUUUUCAAUUGGAAAUUUCACAUUGAUAUCUUUUGAGUUCAAAAGGGGGAGAUAAUAGUAUUUCAAAAUUGAUAUCUCAAAACCCUCUUAAACACUAAGAGGAGGAUUUCAUUUAGGGGGAGUUUUGUUUAGUCAAAGGAAAAGCAUUUGAAACAGGGGAGAAAAUUUCAAAUCUUGAAAAUGUUUCGCAAAAUCUUAUUCAUUUACCUUUGACCAUUUGCAAAAGAACUUUGAAAAGGAUUUACAAAAGAAUUUGCAAAAACAAAACAAGUGGUGCAAGCGUGGUCCAAAAUGUCAAAAAUUGAAGAAACAAUCCAUGCAUAUCUUAUAAGUAUUUAUAUUGGCUCAAUUCAAAGCAACCUUUGCACUUACAUUAUGCAAGCUAGUUCAAUUAUGCACUUCCAUAUUUGCUUUGGUUUGUGUUGGCAUCAAUCACCAAAAAGGUGGAGAUUGAAAGGGAAUUAGGCUUACACCUAUUUCCCAAAUGAUUUUGGUGGUUGAAUUGCCCAACACAAAUAAAUUGGACUAACUAGUUUGCUCUAGUGUAUAAGUUAUACAGGUGCCAAUGGUUCACACUUAGCCAAUAAAAAUACCAAGAAUUGGGUUCAUCAAAAAGAGCAAAGGGAUAACCGAAGUGUGCCCUGGUCUGGCGCACCGAACUGUCCGCUGUGCCACUGGACAGUGUCCGGUGCACCAGGGGACUUCACGCUGAACUCUUCACCUUCGGGAAAAUCCAGAGGCGCUCCGCUAUAAUUCACCGGACUGUCCGGUGUACACCGGACAGUGUCCGGUGCCCCAAGGAAGAGCGACUCUGGAACUCGCCAGCUUCGGGAAUUUGCUCGGCUAUAAUUCACCGGACGUGUCCGGUGUACACCGGACUGUCCGGUGAGCCAGCGGAGCAACGGCUAUCCGGUGCCAACGGUCACCUGCUACAGUAUUAAAUGCGCGCCAGAGCGCGCAGAAGUCAGGCACGCGCGAAGUGGCGCACCGGACACUCUACAGUGCAUGUCCGGUGUGCCACCGGACAUCCAGGCGGGCCCAGAAGUCAGAGCUCCAACGGUCGGAACCCAACGGCCUGGUGACGUGGCUGGCGCACCGGACACUGUCCGGUGUGCACCGGACUGUCCGGUGCACCAUGCGACAGACAGCCCCACCAAACGGCUAGUUUGGUGGUUGGGGUUAUAAAUACCCCCAACCACCCCACAUUCAAGUCAUCCAAGUUUUUCACCUUCCAACUACUUACAAGAGCUAGGCAUCCAAUACAAGACACACCCAAGUGAUCAAAUCCUCUCCCAAUUCCACAAAAGCUUUAGUGUUAAGUGAGAGCGAUUUGUUCUGUUCUUUUGAGCUCUUGCGCUUGGAUUGCUUUCUUUCUCAUUCUUUCUUGAGAUCAAACUCACUUGUAAUUGAGGCAAGAGACACCAAUCGUGUGGUGAUCCUUGUGGGAACUUUGUGUUCCAAGUGAUUGAGAAGAAAAGCUCACUCGGUCCGAGGGACCGUUUGAGAGAGGGAAAGGGUUGAAAGAGACCCGGUCUUUGUGACCACCUCAACGGGGAGUAGGUUUGCGAAAACCGAACCUCGGUAAAACAAAUCCGCGUGUCACACUCUUUAUUUGCUUGCGAUUUGUUUUGCACCCUCUCUCGCGGACUCGAUUACAUUUCUAACGCUAACCCGGCUUGUAGUUGUGAUUAAGUUUGUAAAUUUCAGAUUCGCCCUAUUCACCCCCCCCCCCUCUAGGCGACUUUCAAUAUUUCUCCUCAAGAUCAGAGCAUCGCUGGGUUAAGUCGGCUUGACUUCAAAGAUAUUUUUCCUCAAGUUUAGAGCACCGCCGGGACAUAUCUAACAAUGCAGCUGAAAGGGAGCACAUGAUUAAAAACAAAUUGAUCAAUAAAAACAACUAAGGAAGAAGUGAGGUCACUAACCAGCGUUCAACGCCUCCAAGUCAGCAAUCUAUUUCUGAAGCAGCAACGGGUUCCACUGCAUUAGAGACAAAGCUCCUUCUGGGAUAGCGGCACCGUACGACCUCAGCUGGGCAGACAUUCCAUCAACCAAAGCCUGCAGUCGAAGACAAAUAAGCAUAAUAAAAAUAUUUACCAAUAGGAACAAUAAAAGGCAAGUAGUUGAUUCACCUGAAGAUUGGAGAGGAAUGAUGGUAGACCCAAGGCAGGGGGAGCCAUGUCAUGGCUUGAUGGGGGAAGAUCAGCAUGAACAAUUUGAAGGGCGUUGUCAGGGGUGAUCUCAGCCCCGCCAGCAGAUAACAGGCCUCUCGCAUUUAGCUCGCCGACCUCCAAGGCGACUUGUUUGUUCAAAGCAGUGUAAGCAUGCAUCGUCGUCGCCCCAUCGGACCGAGGUGGAGACGACCCAACAUGGACGUCCAUGGAGGUGUGGGAAGGAGAGCCCACCUGAACACCCUCGGGGGAUAGGUCGCAGCUUGCGCUACCCACCAGAGCCGGAUCACUACCGGCAACACCCUCGGGGGCUGGGUAACUGCCAGGACCACCCUCGGGGGCUGGGUCUUUUGCAGUAGCCACCUCUAAGGCUGAAGGCUCCUUUGUCACCUCCAUGGGAGUCAGGCGACUCGGACCAGCUUGGCAUUGAAGAUUGCCCUCCAAAGUCGACGAUGCACGAGACAUUGCUCGGGAUACCUCCAAUCCAACGUCUAGAAUUUCUGAACAAACAUCCAUCACGUCAUCAGCAGUUGGCUCUGAUAGCAUAUCCUCAAGGACGACCUCCUCAAGGGCCUGAUCAAAAUCCGAUAUCGAUAGUCCCCGAAGACUGACAAGAGCCGAUAGAGCUGGAGAAGGAAUAUCACUCCCCCUCCAUACCUCUGUAAUGCCGGUUGUUCUUACGGAUCAGCGGGACUUCUUCUUCAUCUUCAUCAAAUAUACAGACAUCAGCUUGUGCACAAUCACAACCCUUGGCAUCAGCCUCAGGAAGGACCUCUGCUGGCACUUCAUCAUGAACCGGAGCAGAAGGACCUGCACCCUGGUCCAAGCAUGACAGUCGCCGAAGCCGCCUCCUUUUCUUCUUUUCCUCAACAGUUGCAGUCAGGUGGCUAACUCAGCAUGGACGUUUUGGGCGAGCACCUUCAGGCUUUCAAGUCUCCACCGGUUUGCCAAGUUCUUGUCGAGACGUGAUAGCCAUCGGCUCGGCAUGGGUCGAAUCAGAUGAUUCCCCUGCCAGCAUACUAAGCACAACAUCUAUUUCUGCAUCGUCUGUGCUAGCUGGCAUCUCAAAAUGAGUAUGCCUCUCAUCAUCUAGAAGAAUCCGGAGAGGGGCAAUCAGAGCCUCAAUAUCCUCGGAAGAGGGUCGUACUCUAAGACCCAGGCUACCGUCACUAGCAGGAGGGUUAGCCACAAAUUCAGAAAAUGAUCUAUGAGGUGGCAGAUUCCAGGCAGAAUAGGCAAUAGGAGCACCAACAUUUGACACUCUGUCCCUCAGAAUCAUAUCCAGUCGGCUCACCAGAUCUUCAGUGGGGAUUCUCUUGUUUGUGACCCGGGUGGAGUCAUUGAUGCCACUGUACAGAUAAGCUGGGUACGCCCUAUCCUUCAAAGGCUGAAUAUUCUUGAAGACGAAAUCAACAACCACAGCUUCAGCAGUCAACAAGCAGACUUCAGCAAGCAACACUUUUGCCUCUGUUAUCUCCGAAGGGGUCAGAGAUUAUACCCAGCUUGGAGUACGGACAUCUGGCUGCCUUCUCUGACCGAGGGGGAAGGGACUUGCAGUGAUUCUCCACGAUGAACCACUCGAGGCACCACCCAUUGAUGCUAUCCUUUAGAGGGAUGUCAAGGUACUCUGUUUUCCUCCCACGACGCAGCUCCAGACUGGCGCCGCCAACAAGUUGGUGUUGUCCCCCAGCCAUCCCGGGCCAACAAUGUUACAGAUACUUCCAGAGGCCGAAAUGGGGAAGAAUCCCGAGAUAGGCCUCACAGAGAUGAAUAAAAAUGGAAACUUGCAAGAUAGAAUUAGGGUUCAAGUGGGUCAAGUUCAGAUCGUAGAAAUCAAGGAGGCCGCGGAAGAAGGGAGAAACGGGAAGAGCAAGGCCGUGGAUAAGAAAAGGAACAUAGACGAUGGACUCAUGAGUGUCCUCCGUCGGAACAGUAACCCCGCGGCAAAUCCGCCAAGAACAUAGUUCUUUUGGAGGUAAAACCCCAACAUACACAAGGUGAAGAAGAUCAGACUCUGAAUUAACAGACAUAUGGUUACUCGGGAAUGGCAACUGACUGUUGGGGUCGAUUGGCGGGAUGACUGGCACGGCGGAGCUCUGCCUCUUCCGUUUCGGUGCCAUCGCAAUCUCGCCGGCAGAACGAAUAGGAGCGAAAUCUCAGGGAAACAGAGGAGUGGUUCGAUGCGGAAAUGUGAAGUUAGGGCUUAGAAAUCAACAGCGCACGUCGACACAAGCAUAAAUGGGGUUUUCCCGGGUUGGGCGCCAUUUCUAAAAAGUGCCAAGUCAUCACUCGGGAAAGAGAAACUUCAGACAUGACUCGGUGUUUACCUCUAAAAACGCCGACAGUGUCAGGCAUCACUCGGUUGUUACCUCUAAAACGCCGAUAGAGUCAGGCAUGACUGGGUGUUUACCUCUAAAACGCCAAUAUCAUCAUCUGUCGCUCAGCGGCUACCUCUAAAACGCUGGCAGAAUUGAGCAUGACUCGAUGUUUACCUCUAAAACGUCGAUGUCAUCAGCUAUCGCUCGACGGUUACCUCUAAAACGUCGGUGUCCUCAGCUAUCGCUCGGUGGUUAUUUCUAGAAACGCUGGCAGCGUUAGGCGCAAAGACGAACUAUCAAGCGAUUAUAAAAAAGAGCAAAAGUUCGCUCGGAGCAACUGAAGUUUCUUCAUUUAAUAGUGGGAGGGAUUUUCACAAAAUCAAAGCCUGACCCAUUAUGAGUCAGCCUUUUGUCCCUUUUUUACUACAUUACAUCACUACAUUACUCACACUACACUAUACUACUAACUACUACUAAAUUAUUCCACUACUACUACUGCUACCACUAAUUAUCUAUACUAAUAUUUAAGCCAGUGGCGCUUUGCCACUGGCCUUGCUGCUGCUGCUGUCGCCCUUGCCGUCGUCGUCGCCCCUGCCGCCACCGCUGCCUCCACCGCCGUCGUUGCCACUGUCAUUGUUGUCGUCGCCACCGCCACUUCCACUACUGUCGUCGCCUUCGUCUUCGUUGUCGCCGUCGCCGCCGCCCCCUCCCACGGACGAGCCAGAAGAGUCCUCCUCAUCCGAGGAGACCUCCGACUCAUCCGAGCCCUCGAGCCCGGAGCGCUCGACGGAACGAAUGUAUGUCCACACCUCGGCGGCUAUCCCAUGGGAAUCAUCCGAGUCGUCGGACGACGCUGGGGGAAGCAUAGGCCGGCGAUCCCUCGGACUCAGAGGAAAACUCCUCCUUCGAGUACUCGGAGUCACCGAAGUCCUCCGAGGGAGGACUUGGCUCAUGCUUCCGUUUGUCGCCGGAGCGACGCGGCGAACCCCAACUUUUCUUGUCCUUGCCCAUGGCCAGAUGGAAGAGAAGAGGGAGUUGGAAAAGAAGCAACAGAUGGUCAGAGGAUGUGUGAAGAAAACAACGGAGCAAGCAGGCUAUUUAUAGAAGCCAGAGGAAAUUGUUCAUCUCCUACCACGCUCGUCGAACAGUCGCAAGUAUUCAAUAAGCAAUUCAAACCGUCUAAAAUCAAGUCAGGCAGCAGACGCCGCUUCGCAUAACACGACACCAUUUGGACUAAGGUCAACUGCUUGGGCGAUAUGAUUACGCUCUGUGGUCACAUCAAGUUACUACUCUAGGACAGUGUGCUAAACGCUUUACAUACUAAGACGUCCCUUGGUCACACCCAUUAGGGGGGAAGGCCAGGAAUUUUCAAUAGAUUUUCUGAACAAGUCACAUCCAUACAGUAUACGCAAUGAAUGUAUUGAGACAGAAGGAAGAUAUCGAUAGAGAUCAAAGGAAAGCCAAAUAUAGCUACUCAACUGCAAGUCUAGUUAGCAGAAGCAUUGCAACGCAAAGCGAAGUGAAGACCAGCCAAGAGCCAUCUACCAGACGUCCAAUCUGUCGCCGAUCGAAUAAAUUUCAAACCUAACAAGGCAUGGGCAGACCACGUUGUUUGAAAUCGCAAAAGCAGGGGAUGAAGAUAAAAUGUUGAUUUCUAAAGCAUGAGAUAAAGAUAAAAUGCUGAUUUCUAAAGCAUGAGACGAAGAUAAAAUGUUGAUUUCUAAAGCAUGAGACGAAGAUAAAAUGUUGAUCCCUAAAGCAUAAGAUAAAGAUCUUUGAGUGGAUUAUUUUCAACAAUCCACUCAAAGCUCAGGGGCUACACCCAUUGGGAGCACCUCCGGUGCGCCCAAUAAAUCCUUAACUCCAAAAGACAGAAUGCUGAUCUCUAAAGCAUGAGCUGAUGACAAAGCGCCGACUUCUGAGGCAUAAGAUGAAGAUCGUUGAAUGUACCAAAGGAGGACAACAGAAGAUUAUUUUUUACUGAGUCAUUCAGAGUUCAGAAGCAACGUUCAAUAGGUGCACCUUCGAAGCAUCCAUCACCAAAAUGAAAAUCAAAAUCGCAAGCUGGACCUAGAAUCUUUGGGCCGAUUAUUUCAAAAUCAACUCAAAAAUUGGGGGCUUCUGGGGGACAGAUAUUCCCCGGGUCCACUAGAAUGCUAGAAGGCCUCGCGAAAGGCUUUGGGCCUAUUAUCUCGCAAGGCCGUCCCUUUGUGGGCCAGGGGAGAACUGCUGGCAGAAUGGGCCGACGCAGGGAAUAAGCGGACGCGGGCCCAGGCGGCUUGUGGGAUCUAAGCGUUAUCCACAGCUCUGAUCCGAUUCUCCCGCGCGACACAAUUGGACGUCAGAACCAAAUAAAGAUAAGUCGGUAGGAUUAUAGGAAGAUAAGUUCAGUCGGUUCACUAUUACUUAGGAAUACAUCGUUAUCAUGCACGCAUGUAAUGUCCCACGGUCGAAUAUAUAAGGCCUAGAGGGUACUCCAUCAUUUCCAGGUCAUUCAUCAGUCGUUUACUCAAUUCAUCAGCUUUCUCCAUAUUGGAGAACUCCCUUGUAACCCACCACAUAAAGAUCCACAUCAGGAAGUAGGGUGUUACGCAUCUCAAAGCGGCCCGAACCUGCAGAAAUCUGUCUACCGUCUCUCGUGCACCUUGAUCGAACCAUUGAGUUACAGUCAGCAACACCAUCCUACCCAAAAGCACAUCGAGUGGUAACCCCGGGUGCGCGAUCGGGCUCCAAACACCGACACUGGUAAACUGGUCCGAUGCCCCACCGGACCAGUCUGGUGACCGCUAGAGACUUGAACUUUAGUGCUUUCCAACCAAAUCUUUUUCUCUUCAAAUUGGUUGACCUUGGGAGCUUUUCUAUGAGUUAGACAAACAUAUUUAGAGUAUAUUUGACAUGCCUAAUUCAUAGGUUCAUGCCUUUUAGCUCAUCUCACUUUUAGAUUUCCUGUUUCAACUCAAAUACAAGUCCAAAAGCAUUUUUUGCAAAAAAAAAAACUUAGUUAGUGAAUAGACCAAAGUGCUAGAAACAUUCUAAUAGAUAUAUGCAACAUAUUCAAAGGUUCAAACCUCACUGUUUUACCCUUCUUCAAAAUUGCUUGGCAGCAGCCGUUUUUGUAUGUUAUCUAAUUUUACUCUAUGUUGUCAUGUAUCUUUUGAAUUGUGUUAUUUUUUUCAUCGUAUUUUUGUCAUAACUGUGUCGCAAUACAGCCGGCAUGGGUGCAUUUGGUUAUGGGACAGCCAGGAUAGGGACAUCCCCUGGUGUCAUCUCUCGUCUCUCUAAUUUUGAGGGACAACUGAGGACAACAUUGGGAUAGCUCUGUCCUAACCCUUGUUCCUAAACCAAACAAUCUUAUUUGAGGGAUCGUAUCAUUCCGUCUCGUCCUGUCAUUGCAACCAAACACACCCUAUGAUCCUAACGAGUCUUAACACUAUCUGUCCAAGCAGCGCGCAGGACCAUGCAGCCACGCUAAUUGGUGUCCAAGACCCCGGCAUGCUCUUCACAUGAUCUGAUUUUGUGUACGACAGCAGGCAGCAAAGUAGGGUGUGAGCUGGUGUACGUUAUGUAGGACCGAACGCGCUCCCUCGCUCGAGCCAUUGGCAAUUUUGCCAUUAUCAUUUGUAGGUUUCGCCAGUAUGCCAUCGGACCCACAAAUCAUAGACACAGACGGUCCCACCAGUCAUAGACACGAGAUGGCAUAAUAACAAGCAGCCAAAUUUGAGAGUGGCAAAACAGCAAAUUUCUCCCCUCGCUCACGGGUGACAAAGCGCCAAAAUGGCACAUGCCCCGCGCGUCACUUUUUCACCUACGGUGGCGUGGCGUGGCGUGCUUCUCCUUUAGUUUAGUUUUCAAGCUUCUUUUUUAUAGUACCUUAGAAUAUAUAUAUAUAUAUAUAUAUAUAUAUAUAUAUAUAUAUAUAUAUAUAUAUAUAUAUAUAUAUAUAUCACCAACUUUUAUAUUUUUAAACUAAACGACGAUAAAUAAAAAAGAACAGAAAAAAUAUGUUCCUAAACCUCUUCGAUGAUAGAGACCCCAACAUAAUGUAAGGAUAUUCAAAGGGGAAGAAUUAAGAAUCACUAAUCGCAUUCGUCAACCGUUGGCAAGGGUAAAAUACCCUUACACAAUUUUCCCCUCACAAGCUAGCGGAAACUAACAGAUUAACCGUGUUUCCAUGUUUUUAUUCUUUCAUAUUUUCAAUAGGUCAAGAUUUAACAUCCACCUUAGGUGUCGUUUGGUUCACAUAUUGAUAACGUAAUGAGUAACUGAUAACGUUAAAUCAUGUUUGUUUAAGUCUAACCAUAAUUGAUACCGGUCACACUAUGAAUGGAUACCGUCUUCACCACGAACUUUUGUAAAAUGAAAAUAUGUCCUAUCUGGAAGGCGAGAACUGAGCCCAAAUGUCGCUUCUUUGCAUGGACCUUGUUGCAUAAUAGAAUUCUGACUGCGGACAACCUCCAAAAGCGGGGAUGGCCUUGCAAUCCAAUUUGUUGCCUAUGCAACUUAUCUCAGGAAACUGUGGCCCAUUUAUGUAAAGACUGCCCGUUUUCUGCCGAGGCGUGGGGCAGGAUCCUUUCUUGGGCCAAUCUAUCCUUCCUACGUGGCAUUUCUAGCUCCGGAUCGUUGUACGAUUGGUGGAAGAGAUUAAGGAGUCGUUGCUGCAAAGAGUCAAAGAAGAAUUUUGAUGGGCUUCUCAUCUGCUUCUGGUGGAAUAUAUGGUUGGAAAGAAAUAAUAGAAUUUUCCAGGGACAACAGAGAUCUACGAUCCAAGUUGCACAACUGGUGAAAGAUCAAGUUGAGACUAGUUUUUAGUGUAUCUUAGAUAGAUCAGUGGAUGGUGGCUUUUUUGUGUUUUUGUAUUUUUCUCUUUUUUCGGUGUGUCUUCGGUCCUGUGGAUUAUCUUAUUCUUCUUAAUCUAAUACAAUGAAGAGGCAAGUCUUUUGCCGCUUCCUUUCAAAAAAAAUGGAUACCGUCUUAUUCAAAUUUGUUAACGCCGGUAUUCGACUGUGAAUCGUUACCAUUAUUAUUUACAUUACAUUUUCGUGAACCAAACGGCACCUUAGAUGUACUCCACGACGGUCACAAUUAUACCUCCAUGAUGGGAAAGAUUAGUCAGCAUAAUAUAACAGACUACGUUAACACUGCCAAAGAGCACGAUCGAGUGCCAUGGUGAUGACAAUCAACUCGAAAUCACGCAAAGAGAAGACAUCAUGCAUUUUGUUAUCAAGUUCACGUACGCAUGACAAAUAUCAACGGGAAUUAUUAGCAAUCAACCGCCACCCAUUUCCCUUGCAUCAAAUCAAACUUAACCAAAUCAAGCUGCAGGGUCUACAGACCAAACCGAAAGCACAUCUAGAAAAUUAGAAACUACAGCAGACGCAACACAAUAAAUAUGGGGAAAAAAAUGAUCGAUCCAUCGUUAGCUGAUCGACCCGGCCGUUGUUACUCUCUUCCUCCUCCGGCGUGCCUUCUUCAGCUUGGAACGACGAAGCAGACGACAUCCUCUCAUGUCGAUCUCUCUUCAAACGACCGAUGAACUGGAUGCUAGCUCACUCCAAAACCCCUGCAUAUUUGCACGUGUAGAAACAAAGUCAUCAGACCAGGCAGGCUAGUACACGUAUAUGUACGUACGCAUAUUAUAUAUGUGCAUGUGCAUGUGCCACUUGCAAAAGACUAGUACUUGCAGAGAGAUGCAUGCACGUAUAGCUACGUACAUGUUCACGGAUAAAUGGACGCAUGAGCCGGGGGCUGCCAGCUAGUCCAGAUCAGACGGUGCAGGUGUAGCCCGGCGGCGGCGUCUUGCCGCAGGUGAGGAGGAGCUGGAGCGCCAGUGGCAGGUAGAGGUUGAUGUUGAGGAGCCUGAGCUUGAUGGUGGUGCAGAGGCACACGGCCGCCUCCAGCUCCACCAGCCCCUCCAGCACCGGGCAGCACUUGUUCACCACGGGGUCGCCGAGGCCGAUAUGCACCAGCCCGCCCAGCAGGUCCACGCACGCGCCCAGCUUCAGCGAGUCAGCCGGGCACGUAGGCGACGACGGCGUCGGCGUCGGGCUCGGUGGCGGCGGGCACGGCGUCGAGCUUCCCCCGCCUCCGCCGGGAGGGUAGGUCACGGGCGGACCGGUGACCGGGGGCGUCGUCGCAGGCGGGCCAGUGAUCGGUGGGUAGGUCACCGGUGGGCCGACAACAGGCGGCGUUGUUGGAGGGCCGGUGAUCGGCGGGUAGGUCACCGGUGGUCCGACAACAGGCGGCGUCGUCGGAGGGCCGGUGAUCGGCGGGUAGGUCACCGGUGGUCCGACAACCGGCGGACGCGUGACCGGCGGGCGCGUGACGGGGCCCUUGGGAGGACCGACGACCGGCGGACGCAUGACUGGCGGGCGCGUGACGGGGCCCUUGGGAGGGCCGACGACCGGGGGGUAGGAGGGGCUCUUGGGCGGUUGGUGCCCCGGCGCUGGGUACCCGGUGCUGCC
rnacentral:lncRNA from 1 species